UACGUAGGUGGCAAGCGUUGUCCGGAAUUACUGGGUGUAAAGGGCGUGUAGGCGGGUAACUAAGUCAGGUGUGAAAUUCCGAGGCUCAACCUCGGCGCUGCACCUGAAACUGGUUAUCUUGAGUGCUGGAGAGGAAAGCGGAAUUCCUAGUGUAGCGGUGAAAUGCGUAGAUAUUAGGAGGAACACCAGUGGCGAAGGCGGCUUUCUGGACAGUAACUGACGCUGAGGCGCGAAAGCGUGGGGAGCAAACAGGAUUAGAAACCCUCGUAGUCC
rnacentral:rRNA from 1 species